CGGGUGAGUAAUGCGUGACCAACCUGCCCCAUGCUCCAGAAUAGCUCUUGGAAACGGGUGGUAAUGCUGGAUGCUCCAACUUGACGCAUGUCUUGUUGGGAAAGUGUUUAGUGGCAUGGGAUGGGGUCGCGUCCUAUCAGCUUGUAGGCGGGGUAAUGGCCCACCUAGGCUUCGACGGGUAGCCGGCCUGAGAGGGCGGACGGCCACAUUGGACUGAGAUACGGCCCAGACUCCUACGGGAGGCAGCAGCU
rnacentral:rRNA from 1 species